UUCACCAACCCCGCGCUAAAGCGACGGGGAUUGAGAACCCCAAAGUUCUUGACGUUAAGAGGUGAAUAGCCCAGUGAGCCUAGUUCUGGUACAAACUUCCGAAUGCUUCUCUAGUUCGGAUUUCCUUUA
rnacentral:sRNA from 17 species